rnacentral:misc_RNA from 1 species
CCGAUACCCACACACGUACAGAGGACGCACGUCCGACGUACAAGUAGUCCGUUGGCAGAAGACGCAGCGCGGCCGCUCGACACAGCGUCGUCGGUCGCCAAGAACGGUUGGAGUUACGAGCACGAAUACGAAUACCCGUUGACGCUUCGGGGUACCUGUCGCACGUCGUCCGUUUUGCGUGCGGUGAGCAGGCCUCGGGCUUCGGCCCCCGGUCGGCGAAGGUCCAACGAACCGGGCGCGCGAAAGCGCGUUCCGGUCGCCCCGUCGCAUUCUCAUUUUCACGUCACAGUUGCCGUACGGUCGCAGUUAACCAGUCAGGACAAGCCAAGAGUUACACAGAC